AUUGAACGCUGGCGGCAUGCCUUACACAUGCAAGUCGAACGGCAGCAUGAUCUAGCUUGCUAGAUUGAUGGCGAGUGGCGAACGGGUGAGUAAUACAUCGGAACGUGCCCUGUAGUGGGGGAUAACUAGUCGAAAGAUUAGCUAAUACCGCAUACGACCUGAGGGUGAAAGUGGGGGACCGCAAGGCCUCAUGCUAUAGGAGCGGCCGAUGUCUGAUUAGCUAGUUGGUGGGGUAAAGGCCCACCAAGGCGACGAUCAGUAGCUGGUCUGAGAGGACGAUCAGCCACACUGGGACUGAGACACGGCCCAGACUCCUACGGGAGGCAGCAGUGGGGAAUUUUGGACAGUGGGGGCAACCCUGAUCCAGCAAUGCCGCGUGUGUGAAGAAGGCCUUCGGGUUGUAAAGCACUUUUGUCCGGAAAGAAAUCGCACUUACUAAUAUUAGGUGUGGAUGACGGUACCGGAAGAAUAAGGACCGGCUAACUACGUGCCAGCCGCCGCGGUAA
rnacentral:rRNA from 1 species